AUAAAAGAUAAAAACCCGCGACUUCAUAGGAGAGAAGAAGAACGUGGUGUUGUUUGAAACUGCUCUGAGUAGUUGUGUUUGGUUUAUCUCUUUCUUCGGUCACGCAAAAACUGAUUCGUCGGUUUCUUAGGUAUUUUUCUUCACUUUUUUCUCUCUUCUUUGGUAUUUUUGGUGUUUAAUUUUUUUUUCUCUAUCAUGUGCUUUAAUUUCAGCUUCCAAUGAACUAUUGGUUAUGUUAAUCCAAUUUUUCCAUUGUUCUGUUUUCAUAAACUCGAUGGCUGAGAAAGCCAAUGGGGUGGUGGACCAGAAGCCGACCAGCAACAGGUGGUGAGGCCCUAUCCUUUCCACGAAAUCGAGCUCAAAUGGCAGUGUCAUUGGGUGGAAAUUGGACUUUUUCGAACCCCAGAUGAAAUUGAUACCUCGAAGCCCAAAUACUAUCUUCUUGAUAUGUUCCCUUAUCCCAGGAAAUUCCAGGGCGAGGGUUCUAUGCGUUGUUCCGGCGGAUGAGGAUGCCUUCUGAAAAUUCCAGUGCGAGGUUUCUAUGUGUUGUUCCCAUGGAUAAGCAGGCGAUGCAAAUAAUUACGAACAAUGAUGGGGCCUCUAGAGAGUAACUGCAGGCUCUGCAAAAGUUUGAAUCGCUUUGUUGGUGAUUCCAUUAGGUGCACACACUCUUAUUCCAACAAACACUGCAGAGGACAAAAGAAACAGAAAAAUCUGCCCCUUCAGUAAUGCAAAAAUAAAAAAAAAUAUGACAAGGUAGACUAUUUGACUGAAAGUUCAAAAAAAUUUUUAACCUAUUUGACUAUUUGUGAAAUUUUUACUUUCCGGAGUUUGUUUCAUGUUUAUGAGUGUUAACCGAAAUGGUUUUUGCAUCCAUGAUGAUGGCAUAUGGCGUGUAAUGUACUUUGUUGGUCUGAUGAGAAAGGUUUCAUUUGAUGCCAACAUUAUAGUUCCUCUACCCUAACAUCUUUCCAAAUGUUAUUGAUCAAAAAACUAGGACAAAAUGGUAAAAAAAUCAUAACCGAACAAAAAAACUGUAUUGGAAAAGAAAAGAAAUAAAAAAAAACAUUAUAGUUAUCCUCUAAAAUUUAGCAGUAUUGCGGUUUAGAUAAUAACUAGUUCCUCAUUUUCUUUUAAGACCCUAAAAUACAACAAUUUAAUUAAAAACAAAAAUCAGCACUUUAAUAAAAACAAAUCAAUUUAAAAAUAAAGUUGAGAACAUCAUUUUAGGAGAGAAAUAUUAAAAAAUAAAGUAAAAAAAAGGGCACAUGGUGAAUAACUACUCUCCAUUUUAGGAGAGAGAUAUUAAACAGAAAAAUUCAAAUUUGUUAUAUUGGAAAAAAAUAAAACAAUAAGAACGGAAUAACUUCUCCUCCAUUUUAGGAGAAAAUAUUAAUAUCUAUGUUAAAAAUAAUAUCUUAUAAAUUAUACUAAUAUCUGCAUGUGGUCCGACUAAUUUAGACGGAUUAUGAUGUUUCAACUAAUUUCUAUCCAUUUUAGGAGGAGAUAAAAAUCAUGAUAAUUAUCCUCUAAAAGUUAGCAGUUAUGGAGAGGAGAGAGAUAAAUGAUAAAGGCAACAAAAACAAAUUAAAAAAUAAAGUCGAGAACAUCAUUUUAGGAGAUAAAUAUUAAAAAAUAAAGUUAAUAAAAAAGGCCACAUGGUGAAUAACUGCUCUCCAUUUUAGGAGAGAGAUAUUGAACAGAAAAAUUCAAAUUUGUUAUAUUGGGAAAAAAAAAACAAAUAAAACAACAAAAACGGAAUAACUUCUCCUCCAUUUUAGGAGAAAAUAUUAAUGUCUCUAUCAAAAAAAUAUCUAAUAAAUUAUACUAAUAUCUGCAUAUGGUCCACAAUUAAACGGAUUAGGAUGCCUCCAACAAAUUUCUAUCCAUUUUAGGAGGAGAUACUAAUAUCUUAUAAAAUUAUAUAUAGAUAAAUAAAUAAAUAAACGAAACAAAAGUGGGAGAAAGAAAGGGGCAGAGGUUGCCGUGGGUUUUCAAAAAACCGUGAAGCUCGCCCACUACAAGCGCUAACUUCCCAGUUCGUAUAAUCCCAUUUUUUCCGUUCCUACUCAUUUUCCUAUAUCCAAAUUCAAAUGUUCUAAUUUUCCCCUCAGUUAUGCAACUGCUAUCAAUAGUUGUUGCUUGGUUUUACAGACUCUCACACUCCAACGUGGGAUAAAACGGGAUAUUUACAAGAAUACCCACAAAAAAUGAAGAGGGAACUACCUAUUGAUAAGAUCCCAAACAGACAUGUCUCUAUUUUUACACCUGGUUGGGAGAUAUCUAUCGGAGUAAAAACUACUGAUUUAAGCCAACUGAUUCUCAAGGAGUGGAAAAAGAAGAAGCAUGAGUAGUAUGUAUCCUAAAUUCUACACUAAAUUUGUUACAAGAAAUCUAACAUCAUAUAUACCUUCAAUAUAUAGGUGGCGCAUGAAAAAUGCUGUAGAAGAAUUAAAACCUUCAACAACUCCUCAAAUCAUAGUUUAUUUGGAAUAAAGUCCAACAAAUUAGGUACAACACAAUUUCUUACCUAUUUAUUUUUAAUGGCAUUCUCUAUAUCAUUCUACAAAUUAAUUAUCUCAAAUUAUAAAAUAAAAAAAAUAUUCUACAAAUUAAUUAUUUCAAAUUAAAAAAAAAACAAUUUAU